CUUUAAAGUUAUCUACCUUCUUCUUAUUCAGUUCCCAGUUCCAAUGAUACGAUUGAAUUCCCAGGCAAAGGUUUCCACUUUGAUCCACACUUUCUCUUUGUUACAAUUGAAUAAAUCUUCUCACUUCAAAAUUUUCAUCUUUAGUUCACACUUUGCUUCUAUCCUUUCUCAUCGUUCGGUUGGGUUUGAGUGCUGCCAUAUGCAAACACAACAAAAGGGUUAGCGACGGUGGUAGCCAGCCAAAGAGCAUAUGAAAAAUAGCAGUGACGAGGCAAAGGUUUCCACUUUGGUCCAUACUUUCUCUUGGUCCAAUUGUUGUUGCUACAAAGGGACAAAAGGCAAAACAGUCCACUCACAAGCGAAAGCGAAGACGAUGCAAAAAUUGCAAGUCAUUUGGACAUGAUAGACGAAAAUGUACUAAAGUGUGCACAGAUGCAUAUGAAACUCACAAUUAUGAUCAUGUUGGGGCACCCAAUAAUGUUGAGAAUGUAAAUUUGAAUCUGAUAGGAUCAUCCGAUGGCCUAUUGCAAUCAGAUUCACAGCAUGGAUGCAAUAAGGAAUUAAUGGAUAGUAAUUGGUUUCAGAUCAUUCCUCCUGGUCAGCUUGUUAGGAGAUGAAAAGUAUUCAGUGAAUGAACCAGAUUUCAGCCAAGACCAUUAAGGAAUUUUAUUCUUGAGAGAGUACAAAUGUUUUUGCACGUCUUUGCUCAAAGCUUUUAGGAUGAUUUAAGUUUCUUCGAAGCUUGCUUGGAAAAAAGUUUGGUGAUCAAAUUUCAGAUAUUGUUAGCAUCCAAGUGCUCUUGGGUUUGUAAACCAGAAAUGUCAAUCCAAACUGAAGCUUUUGAUAGUGAUAUCAGAGCCCUUGAUGCUGGUGAUCAAAUUCUCAAAUCAAGUUACUAGCCUUUUGAUUGCUUCAGAUUUCUGAAGCCAAAGUCUUUGUGCUCUAAAUUCAGUUCUUGGCCAUGUAAUCUUGUCAUGCUUAGAUAGCUAUAUCUAGUGUCCUGCCAGCUUAAUUUUGAUGCGUAAGUAUCAAUUAUUAAAAGUUAGAUUCAUUCUGAUGCUCAAAAUGAGCCGUUUUCUCCUAUUUUGAAAUACCAAUUUCAUAUCAAAUGUCUUGUGCAUGUAGAUUUUGCUGUUUACUUCAAAUUGGACUGGCUUACUUGAUGAGCAGAACUCGAAAAGCAACUCAAAUACUCAUGUUAUACAAUACUCAGCACACGGUUUUUUAGGCUUUAAAACGUCAUUAAUGAAAGUUACCCAUUCGGUUGUUUA